rnacentral:rRNA from 1 species
UACGUAGGGUGCGAGCGUUAAUCGGAAUUACUGGGCGUAAAGCGUGCGCAGGCGGUUUUGUAAGCCAGAUGUGAAAUCCCCGGGCUUAACCUGGGAAUGGCGGUUGAAACUAGUCGACUCGAAUCUGGCAGAGGGGGGUGGAAUUCCACGUGUAGCAGUGAAAUGCGUAGAGAUGUGGAGGAACACCGAUGGCGAAGGCAGCCCCCUGGGCUGAGAUUGACGCUCAGGCACGAAAGCGUGGGGAGCAAACAGG